GGUGAAGAACGUAGCAAAAUGCGAUAAGUAAUGUGAAUUGCAGAAUUCAGUGAAUCAUCGAAUCUUUGAACGCACAUUGCGCCCGCCAGUAUUCUGGCGGGCAUGCCUGUUCGAGCGUCAUUUCAACCCUCAAGCCCUCGGGUUUGGUGUUGGGGAUCGGCGAGCCUUUCUGGCAAGCCGGCCCCGAAAUCUAGUGGCGGUCUCGCUGCAGCCUCCAUUGCGUAGUAGUAAAACCCUCGCAACUGGAACGCGGCGCGGCCAAGCCGUUAAACCCCCAACUUCUGAAUGUUGACCUCGGAUCAGGUAGGAAUACCCGCUGAACUUAAGCAUAUCAAUAAGCGGAGGA
rnacentral:misc_RNA from 1 species